rnacentral:misc_RNA from 1 species
GUUUUAUUGAUCAGAGUUGGAGUUACACUUCUAGGAGUUGGCUUAAAGAGUGGAAUUGAGGUACUUCGGUCUAUGUCUUCCUUAUGUUCCGGUUCAAUAUUUGCAGAUCAUUUCUAGCAGACCAACCGGUGAACGUAAGGUCUCUGAUCCAAAUAUACAAGAUUGGGUUUCAAUGGGAGGUUAUGGAAAGCACGGUAAUAGAGAAAACAGUAAGAAAACUCAUGUUAAGUGAAG